CAGCCGCCGCGGUAAUACCGGCGGCCCGAGUGGCGGCCACUAUUAUUGGGCUUAAAGCGUCCGUAGCCGGGUUGGUUAGUCUCCCGGGAAAUCUGGCCGCUUAACGGUCAGAAUUCCGGGAGAUACUGCCAGCCUAGGGACCGGGAGAGGCCGAGGGUAUUCCCGGAGUAGGGGUGAAAUCCUAUAAUCCCGGGAGGACCACCUGUGGCGAAGGCGCUCGGCUGGAACGGGUCCGACGGGGAGGGACGAAGGCCAGGGGAGCAAACCGGAUUAGAUACCCGGGUAGUCCUGGCUGUAAACGAUGCGGACUUUGUGUCGGACAAGCUAUGAGCUUGUCCGGUGCCGGAGGGAAACCGUUAAGUCCGCCGCCUGGGGAGUACGGCCGCAAGGCUGAAACUUAAAGAAAUUGGCGGG
rnacentral:rRNA from 1 species